rnacentral:rRNA from 1 species
AAAUUGAAGAGUUUGAUCAUGGCUCAGAUUGAACGCUGGCGGCAGGCCUAACACAUGCAAGUCGAACGGUAACAGGAAACAGCUUGCUGUUUCGCUGACGAGUGGCGGACGGGUGAGUAAUGUCUGGGAAACUGCCUGAUGGAGGGGGAUAACUACUGGAAACGGUAGCUAAUACCGCAUAACGUCGCAAGACCAAAGAGGGGGACCCUCGGGCCUCUUGCC